AUAUAUUUUUUUUUUCUUAAUGGGUCAUAACGAGUCGGGUCAUUUUACUUGUUGGGUAAAAUGACCCAACCUGUUAAGAACCGGUUAAGAUAAUGGGUGUGA